AUUUGAGUAACAAUUCUCUUAGAGCUGGUUUGGUUCGUGCAAAACAUUUUUCCUCCUAGGAAUAUGAUUUCUGAAAAGCAGAUUUCUAUUUGGUUGACAACGAAAAAAUGACAGAUUUUUAGAGUGCUUAUGUUUGGUUGACUAUCUACUUUUCUGAAAAUAUUAUGUGUAAUUUCUAUUAGACCCCUAAUAAAAAUUAGGUAUUUAAUGCCUCUUUAAUGCUGAAAGGCUUUUUUGGAAAAAAUAAAAAUAGAGUGAUUUCCGGCUUACGGAAAAUAACUUUUCCAUGUUUCUCAUGUAAAAGU
rnacentral:lncRNA from 1 species